AAUAAUAUCCUAAUCCCUACCGACGGGACACGGCUAUAAUAUUAUGGAUUAUUUUUAGCAGUGUCCCUUCCUCACACACGCACACACACACACACACGUCAUGUACUCAUGUCUGUCGGUCUUAUCGGUGAAGGAUUUGCAUUCCAUAAAGUAUAAGUAUUGUAUGUGAAUACCCACACUGAUUUCCAUCUGAUCUGUUUAGUUCAAGGCCGCUGAGAAAAUGAAAACAUUGAAAACAAUCCGACGAAAAGAACUUGUUGGUGAAUGGUAGUUUUAACUUUUAAGAAUUUCACAAUUUUCGGACUUACUUUUAAAUUAACAAACACAUAUUUUUGGUGUAAUUAAAAUUUUAUUUCCCGUUUUACACGUUACCGCUUACCGAUAGUACGUGUUCAUAUAAUUCGUACGAUAUUUUAUGUAAUACAAUGUACGUCUGUUACUUCAGAUAAUAAACAACAAGCAAUAAUAUCCAACCAGCAGACAAAAAAAAAUAAUCGAAAUGCUGUUGAAUAGUUAUCUAUAAUGUCUGAACAUAGGAAACAUUCUAGGAUCUCGGUGAUGCAAAUGUUUCAUGAGCUCAAACAGCAAUUUCCUACAGUUCCAGAUCAAGUAGUUUCUGAUUGUAUACUCAAGCAUUCGACUAAUCGAGAAGCUUGUGUAUCAAAUCUAAAAAGUGUUCAGAAAAAUUACGUUCAACAAACUUAUCCAUCUGAUAUUGUAGAUAAAAUGGCGAACAGACCCAAAACUCUUGAAAUGUCACCAAACAAUCUUUCCUUGCCUAAAUUACAAUUUUCAAAUAGACCACAACAGUUUGAUGACUCAAAGGAUUUAAUAAAUACAAAUAGAAGUGAUAUAGAUGACACACACAUUUUAGACAUAGAUUUUAAUAUAAAUAGAUGUCAAUGUUCAUCAAUUUCUGCACCAUCAACUCCUUCACAGCAACAUCAAGGAGAGCAUAGACACAAAUCUUGUCUUUCAUUAGAUUCUGUGCCUUUUGUUGAUACACAGUGUCGACCAUUCACUUCUGUAAGUCUCACCUUGAGAACACCUACUAAAGAUCCUCUACCUCCGUUAGAUUUAUCAGCUGGUGGAGGUUCUGAACUCACUUAUACAGCUUGUUCAUUUGAUCCAACUACUGAUCCUAAAAACUGUUAUCAAUCAAGACUUCAUAUAAGUAUUGACCCUGAAGGUGAAACAACUGUAACUACUUCUCGUGUUAUGGUAUCCCCUACAAAUAUUAAAUCUAUUAAUCGGAUGACUGAUAUUCAAAUUCCUGGAUCAGUUCAAAUUGAUAAUAUUUUACCGAAAACUAAAAUGGUAAUUAAUGCUCAAUUAGAACGAAAGCAGAAGUUGGCUUUAGAAUUAUCAGCAGAAAAACAAAGACUAGAAAUUAUGAAAAAAAAUGUGGCAUUGAUGGAAGAAGAUAUUUCUAAAAGGCGUUCGUAUUCCAGAAAGAUUGAACGUUUAAGAAAUGAUGUUGAAUUAUUACGAUUAGAAUGCAACAAAUUAACUGUUCAAGUAGAUACAGUUACAGAGAAUCGAGUUCCAUCGGAAGAAACAAAUAAACAAUUUUAUAAUAAAAUUUAUACUGGACAAAAGGUGUCUUUUGGGAAAAUGCGCAAAGAAUAUCAAGAACAUUCAGAAACCCAAAACUGGGUUUGUCCUAUGUGCACAUUCCAAAAUCAUCCAAUAUUGCCAAGAUGUGAACAGUGUGAUAUGGCUCGUUUCGAUCUAGGUACUACAUCAUCAGUUGUGAACAACAAUAUUCCCAUGUGCACCAAAUUAACCGCCAAUUUAACAAGACAAUGCUUAACAUGAGUGAAACUUUUUGCAGUGUGUGAUGGAAAACCACAGCCAUAUCCUGGAAAUAUUCAUGUAAGAGUUACUCAUCGAUUAAAUCAUCAGAGGAAAACUACAAGUUUGUAUUGAAGUAUUGAUUUCGGAUGGUUGUUGAACUCAAUCAACUCAAUCAACGGUGGUCUUUGGUUAAUUAUUUGGACGAAAUUAAAUUUAACCUAAAUGCCUUAAUGUGAUACGUUAAAGUAUAGAGCUAAUUUUUUUUAUUUUGCAUUAUAUUUUACAUUACAUGUACCUAGUACGGAGUAUAUGGGUAUUUAUGAAUGAUUUGAUAAUUGCUCAUUAUUAUACUGUUAAUUAAAUUGUCAAUCCUCUAGAUAUACCCUGUAUAAUAUGUUAAAAAAAAAUUUUGUUAACUAUCAAAUUAAAUACUUUUUAUACGAGUUGAAAUUUAAAUAAUGUUAUGUAAUCGAGUGAUAAAGUUACACAGUUUUUAUAAGUAUAAGAUUUACCAAAACAUGUUUAUUAGAUCAAUAAACAUUAUUUGUUUGUAUAAAAUUGUAAAGUUCAAUGUAUCAAAAAGCAAUAUUUUUUAUAUGCUAAAUAUAAAGACUUGUUUAAUUAAAAUAUCUUAUAAGUUUAAGUAUUGCAUUACAAAUAUUGUUAUACAUACGUCAUACACUAUAACAAUUAAACAUUUAUAUUUUUUUCACAUACGAUAAUGGGCAUUUAGAAGACACUUAUAUACAACUGUUUAACUUUGACCAAUGCAUUAUUAUAAUUUUUUUUUUUGUACACAAAAGACUUGGAACAUGGGUUGAUGCAAUAAAUUGUUGAAUUAGUUUUUAAUAUAACUAAGUUGUACUAAGUUAUUAAUCAAUAUAUAUAAUAAAAAAACUUAUGUUUUAUA